rnacentral:lncRNA from 1 species
AGACCCAUCACAGUGCGAUUGUGGUCAGGUUUCCAGUAGUCCAGAGGAACGUUUAAAUUUUAAAAAUUCUGUUUUCAUAACUAAUAUUUUGUUUCCCUUUAAAUUGGCAUGAGUAACUCCUCCUGUGUGUAGUCCCAUUAAGCUCAAUGGUACUGCUCACAUAAGUGAAGUCUUUGCAAGACUGGGACCAUUUAGUUUGUGCUCAAUGAAUAUUGAAAAGUUUAGUGGAAUGGAACUUGCCUCCAAAAAUAAAAAAGUAAAAACAUAUAUGAUACUUAUUUUAGGUUCUGUGAAAGAAAGGACUACUUAAAUAUAUGGAGACAUUUAUCCCUUGAAUUCCCAUUGAAAGCAUAUUCCAUCAAAUAAAAACAGCAGCAUGAACGAAAACGUUUGUGAUGACAUGUACAACAAUGUCAGCUCAGUUGCCAUGGAUCUAUCUAAUUUAGUGACUUGGGCACAUACUCAUGGAACUAUAUGCAGUCAAAUCCCAAGCUUGGAAAUUAUACAGAAUAUGGGACAUCCCACCAGGGACAAUUCUGUUUUGUGGAUAUGUGAAUCUGGACAUGCAUAUCACUGGCCCUGUGGGGCAUUAUACUUCAAAAGCCAGGAGGAAAGGGAGGAAGCUGCAGAACGGAAAAAGAGGUCCAGAAGCUAUGACUCCUGGUCAAUGGAACAUAAUUUAAGUGAAAAGAAGUACAGGGUAGCCUCACCUUUUGAAAAAAAGAAAGCUGACUCAGUUAACAUGGGAUCCUGCAGCAGAUCCCCCGAAAUAAUGCGCAAGAAAGAGGACGCAUUCUGUGUAAUCUCUGCAUACAACAAUGACAAAAGAAGAGCAGAGUGGAGUAGUUCCUCAGAAAGACAGCUACUCCAUGAGGUCAUGCUUUGCUGUGGAGCGGAGUCUUCCAUCAACUGACUAUCAUGCCAGAGCUGACCACGGUAAUGAAGAGCCAGAAAGCAGGGAGGACCUGCAAGACAUCUCUGAUGAAGAAGAAUUUGAAACAGAUACAGGAGACCAACUACGCAGAAGUAAUUGUGAUUCUGAAAGAGUAUUCCAGAAUAAAGAAGCAUCUGCUGAGGAGGAACUGCAAAUGCAUGGAGAUAGUAAGGUCAUUAGCAAACGAGCAGCCAUCCAGACAUCAGUUUCUGUCUUUAAAGAAAAGGCUGCAGCAAUUCCCUGUUUACAGGAGACUUUAGAAGACAGCCAUCAUAGGAGCCUGGAAAGCAACUGCUUGAAGUUAACAGCUUUUCAUCCUACAAAGUCCAAAAGCAAAACCUCUAAAGCAGGGAAUUCCUGUGAAUCAACACCAUCCAAAGAACAGUUAAAGCCAUUUCCUGUCUCCAGCAUGGAAACAAAGGCCCAGUUUGAGCCCCCCCCAAUCUUGGCUUUCUAUGACACUGCACUCACUGGAGCUGUCCAUCAGCAGCUCCAGCUGUGCCCGUCUGUGUGCACCACAUCAGGAAUGGGACUAGUUGGGAACCGUGCUGAAAUACCUACCGAGGAGAACAAACAGCCAGGACCACCGAAUGCUGCAAAUUCUUUAGCCCUGCCUACUCUGGAGAAUGAAAACUCUGAAGACAGUCUGCCUGUGGCUUCAAACAAAACCGCUGUAAAUUCACCUGGGGACAUUUAUGCAAGAAUUGUUUUUGCUGAACAAUGAGUCAUAAGCCAUUUUAUCUUAAUUUCAGCCUUAGCUUGCAGUCUCAGUGUUCAUUGAUUUACAAUCCAUUUAUUUCUUCAAGUAGACCAUGCAAUAGUUUUCAUAAAAAAGGAGCAGCAAUAUUUAGGUUUCUAGAUCCAUACUCUCUGUGCAGAAACAAUAGUAAUGAAACCAAAAAUCAUGUACCAAAUGACUCACUACCAACAAGAGACAUUCACAGCCAUCAGCUUCAGAACCCCACUCAGCACCCACCUCUUCACACCUGGAAAAAACCCACAGGAGAGCACAUGGACCUUUGCAGCAUACCCUGAAGCAAUCAUACGUGGGCUGUGGGAAGUGAAGUCAUAGGAGGAGAGAGAAAGGUAGGUGGGAGCACAAACCAUUUAAGGCUGCCCAGGUUUGAAAACCUACCUUAAACUUCAUCUGAAAACCACUGUGUAGCCAGUGUAAUCAAUGGGGCUGAGCGGUGUAGCGUGCUACAUAUGAGAAAUGCCACUCAGUAGGUUGGUAGCUACAUUCUGCACUAGCUGCUGUUCCCAAAUGGUCUUAAACAAGGUUUAAGCACAUUACCUCCGAGCACAUUACCAGUAAUCCAGCUUGAAGGUUAGGUAGGAAAGGUGAGGGUGACUGUGGUGAGGUCUGUAUCUGAAAGAAAAGGCCUCCUUGCCAAGUGCUACCUAAAGAUCCAACAGCAACAGCGUUCCAAUAAGCCCCCUAGGAUGUAUGCCUGUGUAGCUAAUGGCAGGGAUACCCACUCCCACGAGUGCCGAUAAAAUCUCCACCAUUUCUUGAGAUUGCUUUUCCUCGCCUUACUCUUCAAGCCAUUUACAUCCCACCUCGAGGGGUUAGGCAAUGCAUAGACCUUGGGAUGGCCCUCUGCCUAGGGACGAAUUUCACCCUAAGUGAUUCUCUUCCUAGGCUACAUGGAACUAUAUAGAUGUGACAACCUCAUAACAAUCUGAGAAGAACCCCUCUGGAAUCCUGGCAAUCCUUUUUAAGAGAUAUUUUUACUUGUUCCAUUUUAAACAGGUGGGCUUUUCCUGAUUCUCAGCCCCUAGAGCUAACUUUCAGCUGACAUUUAUGUUUCAGGUCUAGAGCUCCUUUUUAAUAAAGAAGCGUCUGUGCUGGAGACCA